rnacentral:rRNA from 1 species
UACGUAGGUGGCAAGCGUUGUCCGGAUUUACUGGGCGUAAAGAGCGCGCAGGCGGUCGUUCAAGUCGCGUGUGAAAGCCCCCGGCUCAACUGGGGAGGGUCACGCGAUACUGAUCGACUGGAAGGCAGGAGAGGGUAGUGGAAUUCCCGGUGUAGUGGUGAAAUGCGUAGAUAUUAGGAAGAACACCGGUGGCGAAGGCGGCUCUCUGGAACGGUACUGACGCUGAGACGCGAAAGCGUGGGGAGCGAACAGG